rnacentral:rRNA from 1 species
CCUACGGGCGGCUGCAGUAAGGAAUAUUGGUCAAUGCCCGGAAGGGUGAACCAGCCAUGCCGCGUGAAGGAUGACUGCCCUCUGGGUUGUAAACUUCUUUUGGAUGGGACGAAAAAACGGGAUUUAUCCUGGACUGACGGUACCAUCAGAAUAAGCACCGGCUAACUCCGUGCCAGCAGCCGCGGUAAUACGGAGGGUGCAAGCGUUAUCCGGAAUCACUGGGUUUAAAGGGUGCGUAGGCGGUUUUAUAAGUCAGGGGUGAAAGCAUGCAGCUUAACUGUAUAAUUGCCUUUGAUACUGUAAGACUUGAAUAAGGUUGAGGUUGGCGGAAUGUGACAUGUAGCGGUGAAAUGCUUAGAUAUGUCAUAGAACACCGAUUGCGAAGGCAGCUGACUGGGCCUUUAUUGACGCUGAGGCACGAAAGCGUGGGGAGCGAACAGGCUUAGAUACCCCGGUAGUC